GACGAACCGUGCGAACGUUGUUCGGAAUCACUGGGCUUAAAGGGCGCGUAGGCGGGCGGGCAAGUCAGGGGUGAAAUCCCACGGCUCAACCGUGGAAGUGCACUCGAAACCACCUAGCUGGAGUCUCGGAGAGGAAGGUGGAAUGCUUGGUGUAGAGGUGAAAUUCGUAGAUAUCAAGCAGAACACCUGUGGCGAAGGCGGCCUUCUGGACGAUGACUGACGCUGAGACGCGAAAGCGUGGGGAGCAAACAGG
rnacentral:rRNA from 1 species